CAGUCGCCGCGGUAAUACGUAGGUGGCGAGCGUUGUCCGGAAUCAUUGGGCGUAAAGGGAGCGCAGGCGGGCAUGUAAGUCUUUCUUAAAAGUUCGGGGCUCAACCCCGUGAUGGGAAAGAAACUACAUGUCUUGAGUACAGGAGAGGAAAGCGGAAUUCCCAGUGUAGCGGUGAAAUGCGUAGAUAUCGGGAGGAACACCAGUGGCGAAGGCGGCUUUCUGGACUGCAACUGACGCUGAGGCUCGAAAGCCAGGGGAGCGAACGGGAUUAGAUACCCCCGUAGUCCCUGUCUCUUAUACC
rnacentral:rRNA from 1 species